ACUCCUACGGGAGGCAGCAGUGGGGAAUAUUGGACAAUGGGGGAACCGUAGCAUCCAGCCAUGCCGCGUGUGUGAAGAAGGCCUUCGGGUUGUAAAGCACUUUCAGUGGGGAGGAAAGGUUGUUGGUUAAUACCUAACAGCUGUGACGUUACCCACAGAAGAAGCACCGGCUAACUCCGUGCCACAGCCGCGGUAAUACGGAGGGUGCAAGCGUUAAUCGGAAUUACUGGGCGUAAAGCGUGCGCAGGCGGUCUGUUAAGCGAGAUGUG
rnacentral:rRNA from 1 species